ACAUGGUAUUUAUAGUAUUAAAUUUUAUAAAAAUUAUUUAGGAUAAUUUUGUUUCUAAAACCCUAAUUACUUACCGAAUCCUAUAAAAAACAUUUCACCUCAUUACGUUUCCCACAAUGCCCUUGUCGCAUCCCAUCCAUCGUCUGCCGAAUCGCCCCUCCCGUCGCUCUUCUGCCGUCGUCGGCCUUCCGUCACUGUCGUUGUUGGUACCGCCGCUACCGUCAUCAACGCAAAAAUCAAUCGAACCAUCCAUCCCUUUUCCCAUUCAAAUGCGACAUAAACCCAGUUUUUGCCAUUCGUGAACGAUGAUAUGAGGAGUGCAAGGCCAAAUAGGGGCAUGCAUUGUCUUGUUGUAAGUUAUUAACACAAUAAAUUUAUAUAUUCAUACUUGGAUACUGUAAUAGUUGUCUGUAGAUGUUGUAACAGUUGUCCGUAGAUGUUGUGAUACCUUGUUUUGUGAUUUUUGUUUAUUUACUAUGUUGCAACAUCUUUUAUAUAUAUAUAUAUGCUGAAUAUAAGACACUUGGUUGGUCAA